rnacentral:rRNA from 1 species
UACGAAGGGGGCUAGCGUUACUCGGAUUGACUGGGCGUAAAGGGCGCGUAGGCGGUUUGUACAGUCAGACGUGAAAUUCCUGGGCUCAACCUGGGGGCUGCGUUUGAUACGUGCAGACUUGAGUUCGGAAGAGGGUCGUGGAAUUCCCAGUGUAGAGGUGAAAUUCGUAGAUAUUGGGAAGAACACCGGUGGCGAAGGCGGCGACCUGGUCCGAUACUGACGCUGAGGCGCGAAAGCGUGGGGAUCAAACAGG